rnacentral:rRNA from 1 species
GUCCUAAGCUGAGGCCGACAGGCGUAGGCGAUGGAUAACAGGUUGAUAUUCCUGUACCACCUAUAAUCGUUUUAAUCGAUGGGGGGACGCAGUAGAAUAGGCGAAGCGUGCGAUUGGAUUGCACGUCUAAGCAGUAAGGCUGAGUAUUAGGCAAAUCCGGUACUCGUUAAGGCUGAGCUGUGAUGGGGAGAAGACAUUGUGUCUUCGAGUCGUUGAUUUCACACUGCCGAGAAAAGCCUCUAGAUAGAAAAUAGGUGCCCGUACCGUAAACCGACACAGGUAGUCAAGAUGAGAAUUCUAAGGUGAGCGAGCGAACUCUCGUUAAGGAACUCGGCAAAAUGACCCCGUAACUUCGGGAGAAGGGGUGCUCUUUAGGGUUAACGCCCAGAAGAGCCGCAGUGAAUAGGCCCAAGCGACUGUUUAUCAAAAACACAGGUCUCUGCUAAACCGUAAGGUGAUGUAUAGGGGCUGACGCCUGCCCGGUGCUGGAAGGUUAAGAGGAGUGGUUAGCUUCUGCGAAGCUACGAAUCGAAGCCCCAGUAAACGGCGGCCGUAACUAUAACGGUCCUAAGGUAGCGAAAUUCCUUGUCGGGUAAGUUCCGACCCGCACGAAAGGCGUAACGAUUUGGGCACUGUCUCAACGAGAGACUCGGUGAAAUCAUAGUACCUGUGAAGAUGCAGGUUACCCGCGACAGGACGGAAAGACCCCGUGGAGCUUUACUGUAGCCUGAUAUUGAAAUUCGGCACAGCUUGUACAGGAUAGGUAGGAGCCUUUGAAACGUGAGCGCUAGCUUACGUGGAGGCGCUGGUGGGAUACUACCCUAGCUGUGUUGGCUUUCUAACCCGCACCACUUAUCGUGGUGGGAGACAGUGUCAGGCGGGCAGUUUGACUGGGGCGGUCGCCUCCUAAAAGGUAACGGAGGCGCUCAAAGGUUCCCUCAGAAUGGUUGGAAAUCAUUCAUAGAGUGUAAAGGCAUAAGGGAGCUUGACUGCGAGACCUACAAGUCGAGCAGGGUCGAAAGACGGACUUAGUGAUCCGGUGGUUCCGCAUGGAAGGGCCAUCGCUCAACGGAUAAAAGCUACCCCGGGGAUAACAGGCUUAUCUCCCCCAAGAGUUCACAUCGACGGGGAGGUUUGGCACCUCGAUGUCGGCUCAUCGCAUCCUGGGGCUGUAGUCGGUCCCAAGGGUUGGGCUGUUCGCCCAUUAAAGCGGUACGCGAGCUGGGUUCAGAACGUCGUGAGACAGUUCGGUCCCUAUCCGUCGUGGGCGUAGGAAAUUUGAGAGGAGCUGUCCUUAGUACGAGAGGACCGGGAUGGACAUACCUCUGGUGUACCAGUUGUCGUGCCAACGGCAUAGCUGGGUAGCUAUGUGUGGACGGGAUAAGUGCUGAAAGCAUCUAAGCAUGAAGCCCCCCUCAAGAUGAGAUUUCCCAACUUCGGUUAUAAGAUCCCUCAAAGAUGAUGAGGUUAAUAGGUUCGAGGUGGAAGCAUGGUGACAUGUGGAGCUGACGAAUACUAAUCGAUCGAAGACUUAAUCAA